rnacentral:lncRNA from 1 species
GCACUCAAAGUGGAGGGUAUCACCGUGGCGGAACCGGGAGCCUUCCCUCCGGCCGUAGGCAGGUAUGCCAGGAUCUCCACAGCUGCCCUGCUCGAUCUCUGAAAGACAGGAAAAGAGAAAACAGACACACAUGGUGACGCCACACCUCCCGGAACUGGAGGGCGGGGCCACGGGCUCCGAGGCACCUCUGCCACCAGGCAGUGCGCGGAGAGACCAGGUGGGCACUGAAUGGCACGAGACGCAUGCUUCAAAGACCCUCAGAAUUCCAUCACGACCCGGCUCCGCAGCUCAGCGGAUCUGCUUCCCCCUUCUCGGCUGUUUCAUUCCUAUCAUCUGUGAUCAACCUUACUGUCUUCUCCCCAGGUUUUUCAAUUUCUAACACCAAAUUGGAAUCCUCUUGUACGACAACGUCCGCAGAGAAGGAACUGCAUCUGUGUCUCUAUAAAUUCACUAUCUGAUGUGCUCCAAGAAGGGACAGUGCCGUGUGGAGGGAGAGGGGAGGCCAAGCGUGGGCUGCAACUGGAGGCCUCUCCGACGGGGUGGGACUUCAUAUGUUCCUUUGUCCAUUCACUGUUCCCUAAGCCUGGGUCACAGCUUCCUCUCCUCCCCAAUGUCACACAGCUGACUGCUCCCACUACAGACUUCAGCUUAAGAUGUCACCUUCUCAAAGACGCCUUCCCUGCCAUGCUUCUUAGAGGUGCCCCUUUUCCUUUGCUCCCUUGCACCCCCGUCUUUUCCUUUGUAGCACCGAUUGUUCUUUGCGCGUGUGCAUCUGUUCAUUUACUGUUCCAGUCACUGCAGGUAUGGAAGGUGGGAAAAAGGGCGAACUCUGCCCUUCUGGAGCCUACUGUCUGCUGGGCACUGGGGACAAGCAGAUUCACCAUCUCAGCCCCUUGGCGUCCUGCUGGCUGCCAGGUUGGCCUCCUCCUUUCUCAUUCCCCUCCCGCCCACUGUCCCCACAAGCCCCGUGGAGGCAGGCUUUGGCUAUUUGUUGCUGAUCACUUAGCACAGUGCCUGGGGCACAGAGAGUGCGCUGCUCAAGGUGUGAGCACGGCUGAUAUGCGUUGCACGGGAACUGUGCCAAACACCAUGCUCGGUGCUAAAGAUACAGAGCUGCCUGACCUCGGACAACUCACAGUCAGGUGACUCUAGAGAUAGUUACAGUGUAAGGGAUGCGAGCCAGGAGUGGGUGGGUGCAGGGGAGACAGCUCUGGUCUCAGGCUGGGGCUGGGAGAGGAAGAAAGGCUUUGGGGAGCUCGCCCAGGUAGCCAGGGAAUCAGCCUGGAUUCUGCCCUCCUCUCCCCACCACCGCAGCCCUUGCCAACCCCCUCCUGGUGGCUCUCCUCCCCUGACCCUCUGCUCUCCAUCCCUCCCCUCACUGCCUUUUUCAGUUUCUCAUCUGGCGAGACCUUUGGCGAGAGCUGUUCCCUUGCCUCUUCCCUCUACUCGCGAGAUCGCUCAGAAACAAAGCCCCCAUCAGAGUGUGUCCUGCUCCGUGACUCGUCCACGGCUUCCCACGAUGCACAGAUGAAAACCCUAACUCCUUGGCAUAUAGUCCUGCGCCUACCUCUCCUACCCCAGCCUCAUCUCUGUCCAUCUCCAGCCUUGAGAUUUACACCCCACAAAACCGAGCCCCCUCUUGGGAGGCACAACAGGGCCCUGAUGUCAGAAGGUCCCCGAGCAGUGCCCUGGCUCUGACGCUCAGUGGUAGCCCUUGGGCCCCUUCUUUAUCCUGAGUCCUAGUUUUGUCACCUAUCAUAGGGACAUGGUAAUAAUGACAGCCGCCUUGCCCUGCAGGGUUGUUUUGAGGAUUAAAUCGGUUGAGGUAU